UUGCUUUGGCAGCAAAUAUACUAAAAUUGAAAUGAUACAGGUAAGAUUAGCACGGCCCCUGAGCAAGGAUGACACAUAAAUUCAUGAAGCAUUCCAUAUUUUU
ensembl:snRNA U6 U6 spliceosomal RNA